rnacentral:rRNA from 1 species
GACAGAGGGGGCAAGCGUUGCUCGGAAUUACUGGGCGUAAAGGGCGCGUAGGCGGGAUGGCAAGUCGGUCGUGAAAUCCCUCGGCUCAACUGAGGAUCGUCGAUCGAUACUGCCGUUCUUGAGGAUUGCAGAGGAGACUGGAAUUCCCGGUGUAGCGGUGAAAUUCGUAGAUAUCGAGAGGAACACCGGUGGCGAAGGCGGCCUUCUGGACAGCAACUGACGCUGAGACGCGAAAGCGUGGGGAGCAAACAGG